rnacentral:rRNA from 1 species
CCCUUAGAUGUUCUGGGCCGCACGCGCGCUACACUGACGAUGGCAACGAGUUUUUCCUUCGCCGAAAGGUGUGGGUAAUCUUUUGAAACAUCGUCGUGCUGGGGAUAGAUCAUUGCAAUUUUUGAUCUUGAACGAGGAAUUCCUAGUAAGCGCGAGUCAUCAGCUCGCGUUGAUUACGUCCCUGCCCUUUGUACACACCGCCCGUCGCUACUACCGAUUGAAUGGUUUAGUGAGGACUCCUGAUUGGCGCCGCCGCCCCGGCAACGGAGCAGCGGACUGCCGAAAAGUUGCUCAAACUUGAUCAUUUAGAGGAAGUAAAAGUCGUAACA